UACAGAGGUCCCAAGCGUUGUUCGGACUUAUUGGGCGUAAAGGGUGCGUAGGCGGCGGAGUAAGUUGGGUGUGAAAUCCCGGGGCUCAACCUCGGAAUUGCGUUCAAUACUGCUUCGCUCGAGUACUGGAGAGGAGACUGGAAUUUACGGUGUAGCAGUGAAAUGCGUAGAUAUCGUAAGGAAGGCCGGUGGCGAAAGCGAGUCUCUGGACAGUUACUGACGCUGAUGCACGAAGGCCAGGGGAGCAAACGGG
rnacentral:rRNA from 1 species